rnacentral:tRNA from 1 species
GCACCUGUAGCUCAACUGGAUAGAGUGCCAGCCUGCGAAGCUGGAGGUUACGGGUUCGAGCCCCGCCAGGUGCA